UGAAUCAAUAUCUUUAGAUAAACUCACUAAUAAACUUAGUAAUUUAUAAUAGUAAUCCUACUGUUAAAAUAAUUUUUACCUACAGUAUAAUAAUAUAUCAUUCACUAUUAAUUUCAAUUUAAUACAUUUAAAAACAAACAUCUACAAAAAUAUUUUUAUGAAUCUUUGUAUUAUGGAUAAUUUAAUAUUUGCACAAACAAAUUCAAUUGUAUCUGGUACUUAUAAUAACCGACAAGAAAGUGAAGAAAUAAUUCAGUAUGUUCUUCAGCAAAAUAUUUUACGAACACCUGUCAACCAAAUUACAAUAGAUUAUUCACAAGACGAUUAUAGAAAUAUGAUUAUUAGAAGACCAACUAUUUCAAGCAAAAAAAAAUCAAAGGAGAAAAAGCUGUCUCAAAAAAUAUCAAAAAUAAUUUAAGAGUACUAAUAGAAAUAUAAAAACAUAAAUUUUAUUUCAGUAUUAACACAUUAAAAAAAAUAUGUUAUAAUAGAUGUAUAAUAUUAUACUCAUGCACUAUUAUCAUGUAUAUUAAUAUCUAUAUACCAAUUUCUAUGUGUUUGACAAUAAGUAGUUGUAUAGUACAUUUUACAUUAUUAAUUUUUCUUUAAAGAAAUGAGUACUAAAAAUAAGAUAAGGUAUCACGUAAUAGUUUAUUAAUUGUAAAAUAAUAUAUAAAUUGUAUUUACUUUUGUUUUGUUUCAAUAACAUCAAUAGGCAUCUCAACAGGAA